rnacentral:rRNA from 1 species
CACGUAGGGUGCGAGCGUUGUCCGGAAUUAUUGGGCGUAAAGAGCUCGUAGGCGGUGUGUCGCGUCGGCCGUGAAAACCUGCAGCUUAACUGUGGGCUUGCGGUCGAUACGGGCAUCACUGGAGUUCGGCAGGGGAGACUGGAAUUCCUGGUGUAGCGGUGAAAUGCGCAGAUAUCAGGAGGAACACCGGUGGCGAAGGCGGGUCUCUGGGCCGAUGACUGACGCUGAGGCGCGAAAGCGUGGGGAGCAAACAGG